rnacentral:rRNA from 1 species
CAGCCGCCACGGUAAUACGUAGGUGGCAAGCGUUGUCCGGAAUUAUUGGGCGUAAAGGGCUCGCAGGCGGUUUCUUAAGUCUGAUGUGAAAGCCCCCGCCUCAACCGGGGAGGGUCAUUGGAAACUGGGAAACUUGAGUGCAGAAGAGGAGAGUGGAAUUCCACGUGUAGCGGUGAAAUGCGUAGAGAUGUGGAGGAACACCAGUGGCGAAGGCGACUCUCUGGUCUGUAACUGACGCUGAGGAGCGAAAGCGUGGGGAGCGAACAGGAUUAGAUACCCCAGUAGUCCCUGUCUCUUAUAA